rnacentral:lncRNA from 1 species
UGCUGUGCUCAGUCUUACACAUCCCCAGGAGCUUUUAAAGAAGAUCCAGAGGCUUUCAGUACAAACACAUGCUAAGCGUUGGAGGACUUGGAUGUGCAGUGACCCUUGUUCUCAGGACAUGCCCAGUGUGCUUGUAUGCAUAGCAUCGCUCUCCAUAGCUGCAAUAAUGUGUGUCACGUGUGUCGUUACCUCAUGCCAAGUUAUAAGUAAGCAGGAAAGCAAUUCCCAUCAGUAUGUACUUCAAAUGCUAGGCCAGUCAUUUCCAGAUCUGUCCAGUUUACUUAUACUUUCUCUUGUUAGAUAUUUCAUCUGCACAUGUUAGAUUUCAAGGCUUCCUGCUCUUUUAAGCAAGAUAACCACCCAGGAUAGAAAAGUUGGACAGCAGUUGGCUAAGAAAGGUUGUUCCGACCAAAGAUCUUAGAAUUUAUUGUUCCUGGAUUCAUUAAAAAAAAAAAAC